rnacentral:rRNA from 1 species
GACGAACGCUGGCGGCGUGCUUAACACAUGCAAGUCGAACGGAAAGGCCCGGCGCUUGUGGGGUUCUCGAUUGGGGCACGCGUGAGUAACACGUGUGUAACCUGCCCUUGACUGUGUGGUAACUUCAGGGAACUGGGGCGAAUAUCCGGGAGGAUCUCUUGCUGCAUGGUGUGGGUUGGAAAGUUUCGGCGUUUGGGUAUGGACUCGCGGCUUAUGAGCUUGUUGGUGGGGUAGUGGCGUACCAAGGCUUUGACGGGUAGGCGGCCUGAGAGCGUGACCGGCCACAUUGCGCCUGAGAGACGGACCAGACUCCAAUGGGCCGCAGCAGUCGAAAACCUUGCGGAAUGGGGCGACGUGUGUUACAGAAGUGCUCCGAGCGGGAUGACCGCCUUCGGGUUGUAAACCGCUUUGGAAUGAACCGAGGCGUGAGUGACGGUACCGGGUCAGGAAGCCCCGGCUAACUACGUG